AUUGAACGCUGGCGGCAGGCCUAACACAUGCAAGUCGAGCGGAGCGGCGGACGGGUGAGUAAUGCCUAGGAAUCUGCCUGGUAGUGGGGGAUAACGUCCGGAAACGGGCGCUAACACCGCAUACUAUCAGAUGAGUCUAUGCCGGAUUGGCUAGUUGGUGGGGUAAAGGCCUACCAAGGCGACGCUCCGUAACUGGUCUGAGAGGAUGAUCAGUCACCGUGGAACUGAGACACGGUCCAGAGUCCUACGGGAGGCAGCAGUGGGGAAUAUUGGACAAUGGGCGAAAGCCUGAUCCAUCCAUGCCGCGUGUGUGAAGAAGGUCUUCGGAUUGUAAAGCACUUUAAGUUGGGAGGCGUUACCAACAGAGUAAGCACCGGCUAACUUCGUGCCAGCAGCCGCGGUAAUAC
rnacentral:rRNA from 1 species